UGCGACUUAUCUUGGGUCUCUGUCUUGGAAUCCCAUUGUUUGUUGUUUUCUGUGCUGCCACUGUGAUCACCAUCUGCUGUAUGUGUAGGAGAUCCCACAAGCAGACAACAUACACAGAGAGAGGCUCAUUAAACUCUCCCCGUACCCAGCACAACAUGGACCAACCACCAGCAGGUCUAGAUAAUCCAUAUUACUAUUACACGGGUAGAAAGGGUGCUGCAAAGUUCAAGUCACCUUUGUAUAGAGAGCGUUAUCUGCCCAACAACAACCAAUGACACGCUGGUUGAAGCUUUCAAGGCCAAUCAAGACUUGUUUUUUUCAUAUAUAAAAAUUAAAAAGCUGGAAAUUUUUUAACAGUUGACAUGUUAAAAUCUAUAUAUACUAGCCUUUAAAAUCAAUAAACCAUUUACAAAUAAAAAGAUUUUUAAAAAAUCAAUAUAUUUUAAUACAUUACAAGACUACAUAUACAUUUUUAGAUUUUAUUAUAAAAAAAUCUAUAUUAUAUUCAAAUAUUAUUGAUUAUUUUGUCAUAUAUAGGUUUCUAUAUUUUAUAUUUGCUUAUAAUUUAGGUCUACACAUCAGUUUUCAUUCAAUGCAGAUUACAUAACUGUUUGUCACUUUAGGUGUUUUAGUUUUUAUAUAAUAAAUUUGUACACCAGUAUUUUAUGUAAUUUGCAGCUGUUUGAUCAAGCCUAGAAGAUUUUAUUAUAACAAUUAGAAAAGAAAAAAAGCAACAACUUAAACAUUGGCCUAUUUGCAUACUGUCAUUACACAUUCUCACUUGACAUUAGCAAACAUAAAGCUUAGAUAUGGGAACAUUUCUGAUUAUAAUAUUUUUAAAUGAUUCAUCUAUAAAUUUAUUUAAUCGCAAAAAUAGUUAGCACAUAGUAAAUGUUUUAAUUGUUUGCUAUUGUAAAUAAAUGUUUUUAUUGUAUUUAUACAUGGGAAUAAAUGUCUUU